rnacentral:rRNA from 1 species
GACGUAGGGUCCAAGCGUUGUCCGGAUUUACUGGGCGUAAAGAGCGCGUAGGCGGUCUGUUAAGUGUAGAGUGAAAUCUCCAGGGCUCAACCCGGAAACUGCUCUGCAUACUGGCAGACUUGAGGGAUGCAGAGGAGACUGGAAUUCCCGGUGUAGCGGUGAAAUGUGUAGAGAUCGGGAGGAACACCGGUGGCGAAGGCGGGUCUCUGGGCAAUUCCUGACGCUGAGGCGCGAAAGCGUGGGGAGCAAACGGG